UUAAGCGACUAAGCGUACACGGUGGAUGCCCUGGCAGUCAGAGGCGAUGAAGGACGUGCUAAUCUGCGAUAAGCGUCGGUGAGGUGAUAUGAACCGUUAUAACCGGCGAUUUCCGAAUGGGGAAACCCAGUGUGUUUCGACACACUAUCAUUAACUGAAUCCAUAGGUUAAUGAGGCGAACCGGGGGAACUGAAACAUCUAAGUACCCCGAGGAAAAGAAAUCAACCGAGAUUCCCCCAGUAGCGGCGAGCGAACGGGGAGGAGCCCAGAGCCUGAAUCAGUGUGUGUGUUAGUGGAAGCGUCUGGAAAGGCGUGCGAUACAGGGUGACAGCCCCGUACACAAAAAUGCACAUAUUGUGAGCUCGAUGAGUAGGGCGGGACACGUGGUAUCCUGUCUGAAUAUGGGGGGACCAUCCUCCAAGGCUAAAUACUCCUGACUGACCGAUAGUGAACCAGUACCGUGAGGGAAAGGCGAAAAGAACCCCGGCGAGGGGAGUGAAAAAGAACCUGAAACCGUGUACGUACAAGCAGUGGGAGCCUCUUAAUGGGGUGACUGCGUACCUUUUGUAUAAUGGGUCAGCGACUUAUAUUCUGUAGCAAGGUUAACCGAAUAGGGGAGCCGAAGGGAAACCGAGUCUUAACUGGGCGUUAAGUUGCAGGGUAUAGACCCGAAACCCGGUGAUCUAGCCAUGGGCAGGUUGAAGGUUGGGUAACACUAACUGGAGGACCGAACCGACUAAUGUUGAAAAAUUAGCGGAUGACUUGUGGCUGGGGGUGAAAGGCCAAUCAAACCGGGAGAUAGCUGGUUCUCCCCGAAAGCUAUUUAGGUAGCGCCUCGUGAAUUCAUCUCCGGGGGUAGAGCACUGUUUCGGCAAGGGGGUCAUCCCGACUUACCAACCCGAUGCAAACUGCGAAUACCGGAGAAUGUUAUCACGGGAGACACACGGCGGGUGCUAACGUCCGUCGUGAAGAGGGAAACAACCCAGACCGCCAGCUAAGGUCCCAAAGUCAUGGUUAAGUGGGAAACGAUGUGGGAAGGCCCAGACAGCCAGGAUGUUGGCUUAGAAGCAGCCAUCAUUUAAAGAAAGCGUAAUAGCUCACUGGUCGAGUCGGCCUGCGCGGAAGAUGUAACGGGGCUAAACCAUGCACCGAAGCUGCGGCAGCGACACUAUGUGUUGUUGGGUAGGGGAGCGUUCUGUAAGCCUGUGAAGGUGGCCUGUGAGGGUUGCUGGAGGUAUCAGAAGUGCGAAUGCUGACAUAAGUAACGAUAAAGCGGGUGAAAAGCCCGCUCGCCGGAAGACCAAGGGUUCCUGUCCAACGUUAAUCGGGGCAGGGUGAGUCGACCCCUAAGGCGAGGCCGAAAGGCGUAGUCGAUGGGAAACAGGUUAAUAUUCCUGUACUUGGUGUUACUGCGAAGGGGGGACGGAGAAGGCUAUGUUGGCCGGGCGACGGUUGUCCCGGUUUAAGCGUGUAGGCUGGUUUUCCAGGCAAAUCCGGAAAACCAAGGCUGAGGCGUGAUGACGAGGCACUACGGUGCUGAAGCGACAAAUGCCCUGCUUCCAGGAAAAGCCUCUAAGCAUCAGGUAACAUCAAAUCGUACCCCAAACCGACACAGGUGGUCAGGUAGAGAAUACCAAGGCGCUUGAGAGAACUCGGGUGAAGGAACUAGGCAAAAUGGUGCCGUAACUUCGGGAGAAGGCACGCUGAUAUGUAGGUGAAGCGACUUGCUCGUGGAGCUGAAAUCAGUCGAAGAUACCAGCUGGCUGCAACUGUUUAUUAAAAACACAGCACUGUGCAAACACGAAAGUGGACGUAUACGGUGUGACGCCUGCCCGGUGCCGGAAGGUUAAUUGAUGGGGUUAGCGGCAACGCGAAGCUCUUGAUCGAAGCCCCGGUAAACGGCGGCCGUAACUAUAACGGUCCUAAGGUAGCGAAAUUCCUUGUCGGGUAAGUUCCGACCUGCACGAAUGGCGUAAUGAUGGCCAGGCUGUCUCCACCCGAGACUCAGUGAAAUUGAACUCGCUGUGAAGAUGCAGUGUACCCGCGGCAAGACGGAAAGACCCCGUGAACCUUUACUAUAGCUUGACACUGAACAUUGAGCCUUGAUGUGUAGGAUAGGUGGGAGGCUUUGAAGUGUGGACGCCAGUCUGCAUGGAGCCGACCUUGAAAUACCACCCUUUAAUGUUUGAUGUUCUAACGUUGGCCCGUAAUCCGGGUUGCGGACAGUGUCUGGUGGGUAGUUUGACUGGGGCGGUCUCCUCCUAAAGAGUAACGGAGGAGCACGAAGGUUGGCUAAUCCUGGUCGGACAUCAGGAGGUUAGUGCAAUGGCAUAAGCCAGCUUGACUGCGAGCGUGACGGCGCGAGCAGGUGCGAAAGCAGGUCAUAGUGAUCCGGUGGUUCUGAAUGGAAGGGCCAUCGCUCAACGGAUAAAAGGUACUCCGGGGAUAACAGGCUGAUACCGCCCAAGAGUUCAUAUCGACGGCGGUGUUUGGCACCUCGAUGUCGGCUCAUCACAUCCUGGGGCUGAAGUAGGUCCCAAGGGUAUGGCUGUUCGCCAUUUAAAGUGGUACGCGAGCUGGGUUUAGAACGUCGUGAGACAGUUCGGUCCCUAUCUGCCGUGGGCGCUGGAGAACUGAGGGGGCUGCUCCUAGUACGAGAGGACCGGAGUGGACGCAUCACUGGUGUUCGGGUUGUCAUGCCAAUGGCACUGCCCGGUAGCUAAAUGCGGAAGAGAUAAGUGCUGAAAGCAUCUAAGCACGAAACUUGCCCCGAGAUGAGUUCUCCCUGACUCCUUGAGGGUCCUGAAGGAACGUUGAAGACGACGACGUUGAUAGGCCGGGUGUGUAAGCGCAGCGAUGCGUUGAGCUAACCGGUACUAAUGAACCGUGAGGCUUAACCU
rnacentral:rRNA from 1 species